GUUGAUAGGAGAAGGAAUAGCCCUAAGGCUUAGCAUCAAUUCGCCCUUCGAGCUCCGCUAGCGAUGAUGUCGGCGAUACUGAAAUAUUGGACAAGCCUCAGCGGUCCAAUGAGGAUGCGAGUAAACCUUCGAGCUUUACUGGCUGUCCUCAUUGUUUUCGUGACUGCUACAACUUUAACUUACUGGAUUCGAUGUGGAGACAUUCCCAGCGCUGACGUUAAAGGUAACCUCUAUAAUAUAGAAUCGAACGAUGACAACUACUUGGAAGAUGGCGUUGGCCCUCUAGCUCUGGAAGAAGUUCCUCGGGUUCGUACGCGAGGUGGAUUGAAGAACCUUGAUGACAUUGAUUGUCUUAUUAACGAAAAAUACACCGUACCGUGUAAGCAGGAGGAUGGUGAAGUUUAUGUCCCCUUUUCAUUCUUGCACGAGUACUUUGAGGUUUACGGGAAGGUUGUAAAGCACGAUGGUGAAGAACGUUUCGAAUGGCAACAUAGCUACUCCAAAGUUUACUACCCAAGAGGGAAGUACGACCCACAUGGGGUUUUUAUGUGGUUUGAGAACUAUAACGUUGGAGUAAGAGACCGGGUAUUGUGCAUCAGUGGAACGGAAGGUGUUCCUGUUUCAACUCAGUGGAACUCUCAAGGGCAUCUUUAUCCAAUCCAAAUUGCCCAGUUUGGCCUGAGCCACUUCAGUAAGAACCUCACCGAAAAGAACCCAUCCGUAAAACUGCUUGACGCUGGCAGGAUGUCUCCUUCAGCACAAUGGACACUGUCUACUAACAACAUCAAGUUCCCAUUAAACAGGGUUACUGAUGAGGUUAUAAAACUGCUUGAUGCUGGUGAGACACCUCCUCCAGUACAGUGGACAUUGUCUACUAACAACAAUGUUAAGUUCCCGCUAAACAGGGUGACUGAUGAGGUUACUAAUGGGAAAGUGCUGGAGUUCAAGAGCAGAAAAAAUGGUUCUGAUACCGGGUUCACCUUGACAUUAAAAGAAGAUUCCACCCAUAUGACUUUAACCUUUGACCUGAGGAUGAUGGCUAAUGUCACUGUGUCAGUGACCAUAGUGGGAGGAAAACGUACAAUCUAUAAGCUGCACUAUGUAAUGACUGAUGCACUUAUGUCUGCACAUGUAAAUGAAGUCUUUCUUGGGAUAGGGACCGGUAAAGACUGGAUGAAAAUAACGCGUGACCUUAAUGUGGACCUGCAGAAAGGACUGACGUUAAUAAGGAGCUCAAAAAAGAAAGCAAAACCCCGGGACUUAAGGGUUCGUAGUAUUACACUUCGGGGGUGGGGAUACAUUGAUAAUAUUACUCUUUGUACUUCUGCACACAUGGCUCACUUUUUUGCAGUUGCUGACUGGUUUGUUCGUCAUCAAGAUGAAGAUGGUGGUUGGCCAAUCAUGGUAUCACGUCAUCUUUCUCCUAUAAUGGCAGACCUCGCUCCAGGCUGGUACUCCGCAAUGGGACAGGGUCAGGCCAUCUCUGUCCUAACCCGAGCUUUUAAAGUCACAGGGAAUGUGACUUACCUUCAUACAGCAGUUAACGCUGUUAAACCAUUUAGAGUGCGAUCAGAAAAUCAUGGUGUGAUGACCACUUUUGCAGGAAAAUACAUCUGGUAUGAAGAGUAUCCCACUGUACCCAGUUCAUAUGUGCUUAAUGGUUUCAUCUACUCCCUUAUGGGACUUUAUGAUCUUAAAAUGACUUGCACACAAAAAGACUGUAAAGAAGUAGCAAAGUUAUAUGAAGAUGGAAUGAUUUCUUUAAAAAAGAUUUUGCCUCUCUUUGACACAGGUUCGGGGUCAACGUAUGAUCUUCGACACUUUUCACUGGGGAUAGCACCCAAUUUGGCGCGGUGGGACUACCAUACCACUCACAUUAAUCAGCUCCUGCUGUUAAGUACUUUUGAAAGUGACCCCAUCUUUAAAUCGGUUGCUGAUCGAUGGAUAGGCUACAUGAAAGGUAAAAGGGCAGCACACAACUGAAGUCCACAUUUGAAAUAGAAAAAAAAAAGUACAUUCCACUAAAAUAAUUUGAUGAAAAAUCAUUAACUGUAGUUGUCAGCACUCAUUAGUGGUUUUGAUGUGGGUCAUAAAUAUUUUACGAAGGAGCAGUAUCAUGUCGAAGACUGAUUGACCAUCCUGCUGUAAUUUUUUUACAUCAGGCAUAAUAUAUGUUUCCCAGUUCUUCUAAGUAUCACUUUUAAUCACUUUUUUUUUGGCAUGCUAAAAUUAUUUAUUACAAAUAUAAAAGUAUUGUACUGUUAAAUAAUAACCAAUAGUUAUAACUAGUAUUUCCAAUAAACCCCAUAUUUACGACUAAGUUUGGGGGGGGGGGGUUGUGAUAAAACAAUUUCAAAAUGCUGUUGCAGUUCCAAGUUUUAGUGAAAUGUGUAUUUAUAUUUCAACCUUUUUCAAAAAGUACUUUACUGUUACAGUAAUGUUUGAUGUUUUGUAUAUUUAUCAAUUAACUAUGAGUAUGAGAAGUGUAGAAAUUUUCCAAGUUAUUUAAGUUUAGCUUGAAACUACUUCAGUUUUCGACUGUUAGGAAAUGGAUGUUACACUUAACAGUUUACUUUAAUUCACGAGGCACAGCUGUAUCAACACAUACAUACAAACUAGAUGUUUAAUUUGGAAACUUAAUUUGUGACUCCUAUUAAUCUGACUAUUUUAUAUUGCCUAAAUUUUAAUAGAAGAAAAUGGUGUACAAAGCUUAUUUUCACAGUAACGAUGGUAUCCGAAGAAAAGGCAAAGCUUUAGGUAAUCCUGCACAAUUUUAUUACGGUACAAUAAUAAAGCUUUAGGUAAUCCUGCAUAAUUUUAUUACGGUAUAAUAAUAAAGCUUUAGGUAAUCCUGCACAAUUUUAUUAUGGUACAAUAAUAAAGCUUUAGGUAAUCCUGCACAAUUUUAUUAUGGUACAAUAAUAAAGCUUUAGGUAAUCCUGCACAAUUUUAUUAUGGUAUAAUAAUAAAGCUUUAGGUAAUCCUGCACAAUUUCAUUAUGGUACAAUAAUAAAGACACACAAGUAUUUCCAGAAUAAACUGAAUUAAAAAAAAAUUUCUUCAAAUUUUGAUUUAAAGGCAUGCAAAUGUAAUUCUUCUAAAGGUACAGUUGUACCAUCCACUAAUUCUCAAUUAUGUUUUAAAGAAUUGAUUGUUUGAAAAACUAAUCUAAGUUCUAAAUAUUUAGAAUUUUUCUCAGUUUAAAAUUCAAAGACUUGAAUAUUUUCUCUAUUUUAAAGAUUUAUUUUUUAUUAGUUAUUGGACUUACGACUCUAAAGUUCAGGGUUUGAUAUCUGUAAUGGGCAGAGCACAGAUAACCCAUUGUACAGCUUUGUGUGUAACCAAAAAUCAAUGUUAAUGGACAGUAGAUAAGUUAUUAUUUGUUAUCAAAUUUGAUACUGCAGUCAUGGAAAGUGUUUACUAAUAAUGGCUGCAAACUUGCUUACUUUGAAAUAUCAAUCCACAUAUUGUAUUUUUAAUUGAACCUUCAUUGAAAAAGAUCAUUUCUAAAGAUCCAUGGCUAGGGAGCCCAAAUCUUAUUCUGUAGGUUGUGAAUUUGAAUCCCAUCACCGAACGGUGCUCACCUUUUCAGCCCUAGGUUGUUGUGACGUGAAUAUCAAUCUCACUUUUCACUAGUAAACGAGUAGCCCACGAGUUGGCUGUGGGUGGUAUUGACCAGCUACCUUCCCUCUAGUCUAUCAGUUCAAAAUUAGGAAUGGCUAGUGCAGAUAGCCCAUCAAGUAUCUUUGCACAAAAUUCGAAAACAAACUAACACAGACCCAAAAGUUCAAGCACUGUUCUUUCUUUUAGGGACAAAAGGAUUGGUAGCUUAGAGAGGAGUUUUAACUUUCUGUACUUUUUCAAUAGCUUAGAAAUGCUGCAGUUUCAUUAUAGAAAAAGAAAA
rnacentral:misc_RNA from 1 species